rnacentral:rRNA from 1 species
AUUGAACGCUGGCGGCAGGCCUAACACAUGCAAGUCGAGCGGAUGAAGGGAGCUUGCUCCUGGAUUCAGCGGCGGACGGGUGAGUAAUGCCUAGGAAUCUGCCUGGUAGUGGGGGAUAACGUCCGGAAACGGGCGCUAAUACCGCAUACGUCCUGAGGGAGAAAGUGGGGGAUCUUCGGACCUCACGCUAUCAGAUGAGCCUAGGUCGGAUCAGCUAGUUGGUGGGGUAAAGGCCUACCAAGGCGACGAUCCGUAACUGGUCUGAGAGGAUGAUCAGUCACACUGGAACUGAGACACGGUCCAGACUCCUACGGGAGGCAGCAGUGGGGAAUAUUGGACAAUGGGCGAAAGCCUGAUCCAGCCAUGCCGCGUGUGUGAAGAAGGUCUUCGGAUUGUAAAGCACUUUAAGUUGGGAGGAAGGGCAGUAAGUUAAUACCUUGCUGUUUUGACGUUACCAACAGAAUAGGCACCGGCUAACUUCGUG